UACGGAGGGUGCGAGCGUUGUCCGGAAUCAUUGGGCGUAAAGGGCGCGUAGGUGGCCCGGCAAGCGUGCGGUGAAAGUCGGGGGCUCAACCCCCGAUCGGCCGUGCGAACUGCGGGGCUGGAGCACUGUAGAGGCAGGCGGAAUUCCGGGUGUAGCGGUGGAAUGGCGUAGAGAUCCGGAAGAACACCGGUGGCGAAGGCGGCCUGCUGGGCAGUUUUGGCUGACACUGAGGCGCGACAGCGUGGGGAGCAAACAGG
rnacentral:rRNA from 1 species